UCUCUGUCCUUCUGUGUGUGUGCAUGUACAUAUGUUGUGUGUAUAUAAUAUACACUGCAUGUGAUAAUACAGUCAUAU
rnacentral:miRNA from 1 species